UCGGCAGGUGCUUCCUCCCAGGGCCCUCCCAAGGGGGAAACCAAACCUUCCUCCUCCUCAGUCUGCAGUGUGAGCUGAGCUUCAGCCCCGAGUUCGGGGAGGGGCUGGGCAGUCCUUGGAUGGGAACAUAUUUGCAUGAGCAGCCCCUCCUCUGGCAGAGGAUGGAGAAGAAAAGGAGACCUGGGGCAGCUCAGGCCCACUGGUAGGGCUCAGGGGCUGUGUCCACCAUGGCCUGGACUCUUCUCCUUCUCGUGCUCCUCUCUCACUGCACAGGUUCCCUCUCCCAGCCUGUGCUGACUCAGCCAUCUUCCCAUUCUGCAUCUCCUGGAGCAUCUGUCAGACUCACCUGCACACUGAGCAGUGGCUUCAGUGUUGGGGACUUCUGGAUAAGGUGGUACCAACAAAAGCCAGGGAGCCCUCCCCGGUAUCUCCUGUACUACCACUCAGACUCAGAUAAGGGCCAAGGCUCUGGAGUUCCCAGCCGCUUCUCUGGAUCCAAUGAUGCAUCAGCCAAUGCAGGGAUUCUGCAUAUCUCUGGGCUCCAGCCUGAGGAUGAGGCUGACUAUUACUGUUGUACGUGGCAUGGCAGCUCUAAGACUCACACAGUGCUUCAGACCCAUGAGGAAGUAAGACAAAAACCUCCCCUCUACUCUCCUGGUCCGGUGAAGUCACCCCUGCUUGUGGCUCUGACCAAAUCUGGCUUGGGGGUGACAUCUGUUGUCACAUCAACAGCACUGGAGCUCCCACGGACAAGUAG